rnacentral:lncRNA from 1 species
GUGCAGCUCACUGUCCUUGGUAAAUUCCAAUUGCUGCUGAUUCUGAAUCUCCAGGACCCAUGUGACAUGUGAAAAAAUGUUCCUAAACUUCUACGAUCUUCCUAAUCUAGAAGCUGGUGUGGCCUGGUGGAUGGCUGGUGCUCAGGGCGGCGGGGUGACUGGAUCAAGUGGAUAUCAUUUCCUGAGCAUCUCCCAAGCCAGCUUUAGUUACAUUGAUGUAUUCAUUUAUCUAUUUUGGUACUAGGGGUUGAACCCAGGGGUGUUUUACCCUGAAGCUACAUCCCCAGACUUUAAAAAAAAAUUUUUGUCAUAGGGUCUUGCCAACUUGCUGAGGAUGGCCUUGAACUUUCGAUCCUCCUGCCUCCGCCUCCUGAGUCCCUGGGCUCAAGGCAUGCGCUGCCACAUCAUUGCAUUUAUUACCCUUUAAUCAAGUAGCAGCAUUCUUCCUGGCAUUCCAGGAAGAGAUGUAAGAAGGUCACCUCUCAUCAGAGGCCAUUCUGCUUCUCCAGGCUUCCCUUCCCGCGUCCUCAGCCUGGGGCACUCGGAGGAAAUGCGCCACAGCAGGCCAUCUCUGGUCUGUAGCUGUCAGCCCUAUUCCUUGAUCCCCCCAGUCCUCCAGUCCUGCUGCAGCUGGCUCAGCCUUCCCCUGGAGCCGGUGUGGUCCGUGCUCCUCCAGGGCCUGAUCUCUGGGCUCUCUGGGGCACCUCUGGAGAGGUGGCAGCUGUGGAUCUGCUGCCCCUGAGGGGGAGGGAAGCAGGGCCGCCCCUCCCAUCGGGCCUGUGCUCCUCGGUUGCAGUUCUGGGAAAUGACCAGGUCUGAGGAGGAAGCGGGAGCCGUGGGUUGGCAGUGCCACGCGGCUGUGGGCCCAAGGUCUUCCUGGCCAGGGUGCUUGAGGACAGGAAGUGGCGAGGGUGUGGCCUCAGACCUGGGCUUGGCAGGGAGGAUGGGAUCCAGUCUGCAGGUCAUUCCUGUGUUUGAGAAAAGAUGCUAACUGGCCUCGCAGGAUGAUUAUUCCUGGGCUUGCUGCCAUCCGAGUGGCUCUGUAAGGUGACAUGGUGGUUAGUGACACUCAGGCCCGGGGACAAGCGCACAGAGUUCUGGUUUGGCAUUCCGUCUCCCUCCAGGGGUGAGUUUUCUUCCUCUUCUUAUGGGACAGUUAAGGUUUACAUUUUCUUUUUACCGCUGAAUCUAAUUUAAUUGUGGGUUAUUUUAUUUUAUUUUUUUGUAUAUGUGCCCAGAAUUUUGGGGUUAUUGGUAAACUUUAAAAAAUACCACAGCACAUGUAAACAUAUAUAAUUUAAGAACCAGUCCUGACUGAGGCCAUGCUAUCCUUUGGAAAAUUCUUACUUGGAAGCAAUUCUAAUUAACAAGGCAUUUUCUGGUUUACUUCUUGCAUGCUCUGUUAAUAAUAAAAAGAUAGUAUCUUUUUUCCUCCUAUGAUUUAAUUUUUCCCUGUUCUGUUUCUCAAGAACCAACUCUAUUAUGGUUACCUUUAAUAAAAAAAUGUGGCUAACUUACGAUAACAAACAGCCAACAAGACAGAGAUAAGAAGAGUUGGGCCCUUAAAAGUCCGAAUUUUCCAGAUGUUCUUUUAUAAUAAAUGCAGUGAAAACGAAUUGCAGAGAAACCGCAUGAAACUACAAUUGGUUUAUUCAAAAGAAUCUCACCACUUAAAGAACAUAUCCCCUUCUUUUUUAAAAAAGGAUAUUGGGUUGGGGCUGGGGAUGUGGCUCAAGCGGUAGCACGCUCGCCUGGCAUGCGUGCGGCCCGGGUUCGAUCCUCAGCACCACAUACAAACAGAGAUGUUUGUUUG